rnacentral:ncRNA from 1 species
GCCUCAUGGCUAAAAGGCUGACACUGCAAGGUGGAGCGAGAAGUCAGCAGAGGCCGUAGUAGUCGCCAGCAAGGGACGAAGGGC